rnacentral:tRNA from 2 species
AAGGUCUUAAGUUAAUUAAACUAAUAACCUUCAAAGUUAGAAUUAAAAGAAUAACUUUUAGGCUUUA